CUAACAUAUGUGCAAGUUAUUGGGAGAUAAACCUAAUAGCGUAAUUAACUUGACUAAUAAUGGGAUUAGUUUUUUAACUAUUUAUAGAUAAUUAACACAAUCCCGGGGCGUUCUAUAUAGUUAUGUAUGAUAAUAUUUAUAUUAUUUAUGCCUCUAACUGGAACGUACCUUGAGCAUAUAUGCUGUGACCCGAAAGAUGGUGAACUAUACUUGAUCAGGUUGAAGUCAGGGGAAACCCUGAUGGAAGACCGAAACAGUUCUGACGUGCAAAUCGAUUGUCAGAAUUGAGUAUAGGGGCGAAAGACCAAUCGAACCAUCUAGUAGCUGG
rnacentral:ncRNA from 1 species